GGGGAUGUGGCUCAAGCAGUAGAGUGCUCGCCUGGCAUGCGCGGGGCGCUGGGUUCGAUCCUCAGCACCACA
rnacentral:tRNA from 1 species